UGCAGAUGCCUCUGACUGGAGCUAAAUGGUUUAUCGUAUUUAAGCUUCCCUGUGACAACCAAAAGGAGUGUGACACCGAGUGGGGAAAAAAGCUGACAUAUGGCUUCAUGAGAAACUAUUCCAGCUGGAAAACAUACAAGAAAUGAACGAAUGGUCCUUGCAAUGGUUUGAUCACAUAGUGAUGAGAAAGAGUUAGAGAAUGGAAAAAUAAUAUUUGGAUUGUAACGGAAUAAUAAAAAUGCAGAGGAUGCCUUAGACUUUUACAAGGUGAGAAAUUGUUUCCCAUUCUGAUUGUGUGAUGUCAAGACUUCCUUCUAAAAACAGUUUCAGAAAAAGGAUUUUCAAGCUGAUUACAAGAAUUAUGGGUUUGCACUCUACAUGCUAACAAAACUGAGCAACUGUGACACCAAACCAGAGGUGAAAAACUGAAAGAUGAAGAGAACCCAAAAUUUAUACCUCUCAUAGUUUAACCCCAGUUCACAACUAAGCCCCAUGCUUCCACCCACUCGUACCCUUACCAGUAGGACUGGGAAGAGAAUUGGAAGAGCAAAAGUGAGAAAACUCAUGGGUUGAGUUAAGAACAGCUUAACAGGGAGGCAAAAGACACACACACACACACAAGCAAAUAAAAACAAGCAAUUAUUUCACUGCUUCCCAUGGGCAGGCAGGUGUUUAGCUAUCCCCAGAAAAGGAGGACUCCAUCAGGUCGAAUUAUGACUUGGGAACAAAAAUGCCAUCACUCCACACAUCCCUUCUUCUUUCUUCCCCAGCUCUCUAUGUUGAGCCUAACGUGGGAAUAUGGAACAUCCUUUCAGUCAGUUGGGAUCAGCUGUCCCAGCUGCACCCCUCUCACCUACCCAAACACCCCCAGACUCCUCACUAGCAGGGCAGCACAAAAAUCAGAAAAGGCUUUGAUAUUAUGCAAACGCUGCUCAGCAACAGCAAAACGAUCUCUACAUUAUCAACACUGGGUUAAGCACACAUCCAAAACUCAGCCCCAUAUUAGCUACUGUGAAGAAAAUUACUGUGAAGAAAAUUCUAGGCAAACCUAGAACAAUACCUAUGAAAUUAAUAUGCAAGUUUUAACAGCCCUUAUCCAGUACAGACCAUGGCAAACAGCACAGCUGAUGACAACAUCUGUACCUAUUUGUAACAUUUUUGUUGAUUAAAGCCAACAGCUACAUAGUUGAAGAUUUAUGAAUAAGAGGGUGGCAUAGAGCAUUAUUGUGGAGUAUUGAUUGUCCAGAAUUAAAAGUAAUUUUCUGUACACUGGUUAAGCUCAAUACCACCUCUACCUCCAAACUCCUCAGAGGCAAGGAUUACUCACAAAAUUGCUACUAUUUUUUGUUUCCUUUUUUUUCUUCAGUGUUUAAUACUAAUGCUGCCAUGAGGAGGAGGACCAUGAUUGCAGGAGUGAUGUUCCAUUUGUGGGCCCUAAAAUCCUAAUGAGCCAGUUGUACCAUCUGGAUGUUCAUAAUAAACUCAUGAGGCUUGACAGAGUUCACCCCAGAGUACUGAAGAAGUUAGUGGGUGCUACAGCAGGACCUCUCUGUCAUGAUCCAUGGGUAUGGGGGCACAAUAUUCACUAUAAAUUCUUAUCAGGCAGAUCAAAGACACCAGACCACAUGUCAGGGAACUCUCAGGCUUCUAUUGUACAGUCACCAUAACUCUGGCAAUGACCACGCUAUUAAGACUAAAAGGGUGUUGGUUAACAAGCCCUUACACUUUCACAAUAUACUUCCACAAAAGGUGUACGCUAACAAGGCAUUAAUUUUGUACAGUACACUUAAAUAAGUUUUCAAGUCCCACAACAAACUCUUCAAAAGGUGCUGGCUUACAAGCACAACAUCACUAUUCAAAGGUGCUAGAUAAUGAGCCACAACACACUUCCACAAGGUUCUCACUCUCACAACAGAGUUUAGUACGGAGUACAGAUUAGGAAGCAGUGCUUUCCUCGGGCAAAGCAAAGGAAGAAAACAAAGAAUAGCACCAGUCCUCAGAUCCUGCAUUAGUCUGCUGCUUGGAUGAUCCAGAGCUGGGUUUGCAAGACAAAGAAAAUUAA